rnacentral:rRNA from 1 species
AUUGAACGCUGGCGGCAUGCCUUACACAUGCAAGUCGAACGGUAACAGGUCUUCGGAUGCUGACGAGUGGCGAACGGGUGAGUAAUACAUCGGAACGUGCCUAGUAGUGGGGGAUAACUACUCGAAAGAGUUGCUAAUACCGCAUGAGAUCUACGGAUGAAAGCAGGGGAUCGCAAGACCUUGUGCUACUAGAGCGGCCGAUGGCAGAUUAGGUAGUUGGUGGGAUAAAAGCUUACCAAGCCGACGAUCUGUAGCUGGUCUGAGAGGACGAUCAGCCACACUGGGACUGAGACACGGCCCAGACUUCUACGGGAGGCAGCAGUGGGGAAUUUUGGACAAUGGGCGCAAGCCUGAUCCAGCAAUGCCGCGUGCAGGAUGAAGGCCUUCGGGUUGUAAACUGCUUUUGUACGGAACGAAAAGCCCCGGGUUAAUACCCUGGGGUCAUGACGGUACCGUAAGAAUAAGCACCGGCUAACUACGUGCCAGCCGCCGCCGUAA